AUGGCGGCAGCGACCGGAGGCGGCGGCAGCAGUGAGGAGGCGCUGACGCUGCUGGGGUUCUGGACGAGCCCGUUCGCGCUGCGGGCGCGGUUCGCGCUGAACCUCAAGGGCAUCCCCUACGAGUACGUGGAGGAGGACCUGUUCGGCGAGCGGGGCAAGAGCCCGCUCCUCGUCGCCUCCAACCCGGCCCACGGCGGGAAGGUGCCCGUGCUCAUCCACGGCGGCCGCCCCGUCGCCGAGUCGCUGGUCAUCCUGGAGUACAUCGACGAGGCGUUCCCGGAGCGCCUCCCGCGCCUCCUGCCCCCGCCCGACGACCCGCACGGCCGCGCCGCCGCCCGGUUCUGGGCGGCCUACGUCGACCAGAAGCUGCUCCCGACGUGGGCCCCGCUCUACGGCGGGAGGACGGCCGAGGAGCGGGCGGGCGCGGCGAGGGAGGUCGUCGCCGUGCUGGAGGCGUUCGAGGGGGAGCUCGGGGACAGGGGCUUCUUCGGCGGGGACGGCGUGGGGCUGGUGGACGUGGCGCUCGGCGGGUUCCUCGGGUGGCUGCGCGCGUCGCAGGCCAUGUGCGGCGUGCGGACCAUCGACCCCGCCAGGACGCCGCGGCUGGCGGCGUGGGCGGAGCGGUUCGGCGCGCUGGACGGCGUGAGGGAGAUCGUGCCGGACGCGGCGCCGCUGGUGGAGUACAACCUCAUGAAGCGGGCUCGCCUAGGCCUGCCGUAUCUGCCGCCGCAUCAGUCGCAGUAA
rnacentral:rRNA from 1 species